rnacentral:rRNA from 1 species
GUGCCUAACACAUGCAAGUCGAGCGGUAACAGGCGUAGCAAUACGUGCUGACGAGCGGCGAACGGGUGAGUAACGCUUCGGAAUCUGCCCAAUGGUGGGGAAUAACCAGCCGAAAGGUUGGCUAAUACCGCAUGAGCCCUACGGGGGAAAGCGGGGGAUCGCAAGACCUCGCGCCGAUGGAUGAGCCGAAGCCGGAUUAGCUAGUUGGUAGAGUAACGGCCUACCAAGGCGACGAUCCGUAGCUGGUCUGAGAGGACGACCAGCCACACUGGGACUGAGACACGGCCCAG